rnacentral:rRNA from 1 species
CUUAAGCAUAUCAAUAAGCGGAGGAAAAAGAAACCAACCGGGAUUGCCUCAGUAACGGCGAGUGAAGCGGCAAGAGCUCAAAUUUGAAAUCUGGCCCCUCCGGGGUCCGAGUUGUAAUUUGCAGAGGAUGCUUCGGGUGCGGCCCCCGUCUAAGUGCCCUGGAACGGGCCGUCAGAGAGGGUGAGAAUCCCGUCUUGGGCGGGGUGUCCGUGCCCGUGUGAAGCUCCUUCGACGAGUCGAGUUGUUUGGGAAUGCAGCUCUAAAUGGGUGGUAAAUUUCAUCUAAAGCUAAAUACUGGCCGGAGACCGAUAGCGCACAAGUAGAGUGAUCGAAAGAUGAAAAGCACUUUGAAAAGAGAGUUAAACAGCACGUGAAAUUGUUGAAAGGGAAGCGCUUGCGACCAGACUCGCUCGCGGGGUUCAGCCGGCAUUCGUGCCGGUGUACUUCCCCGCGGGCGGGCCAGCGUCGGUUUGGGCGGUCGGUCAAAGGCCUCCGGAAUGUAUCACCCUCCGGGGUGCCUUAUAGCCGGGGGUGCAAUGCGGCCAGCCCAGACCGAGGAACGCGCUUCGGCACGGACGCUGGCAUAAUGGUCGUAAACGACCCGUCUUGAAACACGGACCAAGGAGUCUAACAUCUACGCGAGUGUUCGGGUGUCAAACCCGUACGCGCAGUGAAAGCGAACGGAGGUGGGAGCCUUUCGGGGCGCACCAUCGACCGAUCCUGAUGUCUUCGGAUGGAUUUGAGUAAGAGCGUAAAUGUGGGGACCCGAAAGAUGGUGAACUAUGCCUGAAUAGGGUGAAGCCAGAGGAAACUCUGGUGGAGGCUCGCAGCGGUUCUGACGUGCAAAUCGAUCGUCAAA